rnacentral:rRNA from 1 species
UACGUAGGGUGCGAGCGUUUGUCCGGAUUUAUUGGGCGUAAAGAGCUCGUAGGCGGCUUGUCGCGUCGGAUGUGAAAGCCCGGGGCUUAACUCCGGGUCUGCAUUCGAUACGGGCAGGCUAGAGUGUGGUAGGGGAGAUCGGAAUUCCUGGUGUAGCGGUGAAAUGCGCAGAUAUCAGGAGGAACACCGGUGGCGAAGGCGGAUCUCUGGGCCAUUACUGACGCUGAGGAGCGAAAGCGUGGGGAGCGAACAGG